rnacentral:lncRNA from 1 species
AUGAGAACUAAGAUAAAAUUGGAUCUUUUCUUACGGUUCCCAAACACUGUUGCUGGACAAGAGCUGCUUGGUUCUUGUCGUUCCCCCAGGACCUUGCUGACUUUCAGUGCUGCUAUAAAGAGCAAGUGCAAAGCUCCCAGGAGUGUGCAAGCAGAGCAUUUGGAGAGUGACUGGGAGACAUUUGCUAUGCUGGUCUUCAGGAUGAAGUUCAAAAUCCUUCAAGAUGACAGAGCUACUCUGUGCAGUACAGCCAGCCACACAGGACAGCUAGGAGAGACUCAUACUUCACCUUUUUCUGCACACCGUGGGAUGAAGCUAAACACUGGGCAGCCCACAUCACCUAUGUACAUCUUCCCUAGCAAUACACCUCUCCUGCAGCAUGGUGGCUCACAGCAGCUCGAGAGAAAAGGAGCUACUUUUCCCUACCAUCCGUGUGGGUAACAAAAGCUUGUCCUUGAACGAGAAAAAAGUGCAUCUCUUACUUUCUUGGUGAGUUUUUUAUUUUUUUCCCCUCUUUUUUAUAGUUUUUUUUUUAUAUUUUGGAAAUAUUUUUAAUCUUACGUGGAUUAAACUAUGCUUCACGUUGAAAGAUUUUGUCAAAAUACACUUCUAACAUAGUUGCAAUGCACUUCAUUUGAACUGUGUAAAGCUGCAAGAUAAUAGCUCUGAACAACGUGUAUAUUGAGCUACCGGUCAAGUGACUGGGGAUCUCAACAUCGCAGCAAACUUCCUCUGCAAGUCUGGUUGGCAGCAUCUCAGUGACAACUCCCCAUCAGCAGUGGGAAUGACAGCGGUUAUCUGUGUUGGCUGCUGUCAUCGUCUGGGUCAACAACAGGUAAUGUAUCUCUGUGGUGUGGAAAGGAUAUUGCCAGAGUGCCACAGAACCGUGUGUAUUUGACAUACCCGGGAUAUGCAGAGACGCAGUAACACCACUCACACCCUGCUGACCUGACGCUGGCAUUACAAAACUUUAAAACGCUUUUGUGCUGUUUAAUUUUUAUAUAGAUCAGUUUUAAGCACUGAAGUGUCCUAAGCUAGAUAUCGCCAAAACAACAUUCAUGACUUCAUUUGGUUCUUGGACCAACACUCUUAACAGUAAUAGAAAUACAAGGUUUUGGGUUACAUGCAUGUUUUACACAUUCGUGACAGGCUUCCUUUUGUCACUGCUAGAACAGCUUUUUCUCAUGCAAGUUUCAGCUGCUGACACCAGACAAAUGACCCAUUACAUGGCUCCAUUUAGCCGUUUGACAAGCAACAGAAUAGGACUCACCUGUAGUGGCCUUAAUCCCUCCAAAGUUGCAGGACUAUGCAUGUUGCUUUCUUUAGAAGUGCUGUAAUCAAGAUAUGAAAGGAGCACAUGCCCUCACCUGGAGUGCCUGACCAGGCAAAGAAAACACACUCAGGAAAGGACUUGUUUUGGUUUGUUUCCUAUGCAAACAAGAGUAAUACUUUUGCACUCUUUAACACUUUGCAGAACAUACAAAUAAACAAAGUGUAAUACUAUGGAAUUUAACA